GACGAACGCUGGCGGCGUGCUUAACACAUGCAAGUCGAACGGAAAGGCCCUGCUUUUGUGGGGUGCUCGAGUGGCGAACGGGUGAGUAACACGUGAGUAACCUGCCCUUGACUUUGGGAUAACUUCAGGAAACUGGGGCUAAUACCGGAUAGGAGCUCCUGCUGCAUGGUGGGGGUUGGAAAGUUUCGGCGGUUGGGGAUGGACUCGCGGCUUAUCAGCUUGUUGGUGUGGUAGUGGAUUACCAAGGCUUUGACGGGUAGCCGGCCUGAGAGGGUGACCGGCCACAUUGGGACUGAGAUGCGGCCCAGACUCCUACGGGAGGCAGCAGUGGGGAAUAUUGCACAAUGGGCGGAAGCCUGAUGCAGCAACGCCGCGUGCGGGAUGACGGCCUUCGGGUUGUAAACCGCUUUCGCCUGUGACGAAGCGUGAGUGACGGUAAUGGGUAAAGAAGCACCGGCUAAAUACGUG
rnacentral:rRNA from 1 species